rnacentral:rRNA from 1 species
ACGAACUGUGCGAACGUUAUUCGGAAUCACUGGGCUUAAAGGGUGCGUAGGCGGUUAUCCAAGUCAGGUGUGAAAUCUCUCGGCUCAACCGGGAAACUGCGCUUGAAACUGGGUGACUGGAGGGAUGCAGGGGUGUGUGGAACUUCCGGUGGAGCGGUGAAAUGUGUAGAUAUCGGAAGGAACGCCAGCAGCGAAAGCGGCACACUGGGCAUUUACUGACGCUGAGGCACGAAAGCUAGGGGAGUGAACGGGAUUAGAUACCCCGGUAAUCCUAGCCGUAAACACUGAGCACUGGGGGAGGGAGGUUUCGGCCUUCUUUCCCGUAGCGAAAGCGUUAAGUGCUCCGCCUGGGGAGUAUGGUCGCAAGGCUG